rnacentral:rRNA from 1 species
CUACGUGCCAGCAGCCGCGGUAAUACGGAGGGUGCGAGCGUUAAUCGGAAUAACUGGGCGUAAAGGGCACGCAGGCGGCUAUUUAAGUGAGGUGUGAAAUCCCCGGGCUUAACCUGGGAAUUGCAUUUCAGACUGGGAGUCUAGAGUACUUUAGGGAGGGGUAGAAUUCCACGUGUAGCGGUGAAAUGCGUAGAGAUGUGGAGGAAUACCGAAGGCGAAGGCAGCCCCUUGGGAAUGUACUGACGCUCAUGUGCGAAAGCGUGGGGAGCAAACAGGAUUAGAUACCCUGGUAGUCCACGCUGUAAACGCUGUCGAUUUGGGGAUUGGGCUUUAAGCUUGGUGCCCGAAGCUAACGUGAUAAAUCGACCGCCUGGGGAGUACGGCCGCAAGGUUAAAACUCAAAUGAAUUGACGGGGGCCCGCACAAGCGGUGGAGCAUGUGGUUUAAUUCGAUGCAACGCGAAGAACCUUACCUACUCUUGACAUCC